rnacentral:lncRNA from 1 species
CGACGACCGUACCCACGCCCGUAUAAAAAGCCUCCGGGAGGGCUGCGGUGGGCACGAGGAGAAUGGGUUGGUGCGUGUGCGUUGCGCGGGUUGUUCAAACGUGGAGUGACUGUAAGCCAUCCAUUCACGUGUCGACGCAGCGAGGAGGCGGUGGCUCAAUGAAUUUUAACGUCUGAGAAGUACAUGGACUGUAUGUGAAGGCAGGGAACCUGCUCUGCUGCUGUCAUCAUCGACCUCUGAUAUCACUUGGAGCAAGACAACCAACGAUAGCAGUGAUCUGACUCUGGAGUGGUAAGAAAGAGCAAGGGGAUGGCAAGACCCCGCAAGAAGGGGAGAAGGUUCUCA